rnacentral:rRNA from 1 species
AGAUUGAACGCUGGCGGCAUGCCUUACACAUGCAAGUCGAACGGUAACAGGUUAAGCUGACGAGUGGCGAACGGGUGAGUAAUAUAUCGGAACGUGCCCAGUAGUGGGGGGAUAGCCCGGCGAAAGCCGGAUUAAUACCGCAUACGACCUACGGGUGAAAGGGGGGGAUCGCAAGACCUCUCGCUAUUGGAGCGGCCGAUAUCAGAUUAGCUAGUUGGUGGGGUAAAAGCUCACCAAGGCGACGAUCUGUAGCUGGUCUGAGAGGACGACCAGCCACACUGGGACUGAGACACGGCCCAGACUCCUACGGGAGGCAGCAGUGGGGAAUUUUGGACAAUGGACGCAAGUCUGAUCCAGCCAUGCCGCGUGCGGGAAGAAGGCCUUCGGGUUGUAAACCGCUUUGUCAGGAAGAAUCCUUUGAGUUAAUACCGUCGGGGGAGUGACGGUACCUGAAGAAUAAGCACCGGCUAACUACGUGCCAGCAGCCGCGGU